rnacentral:ncRNA from 1 species
UGUAGCUUAGAAGUUCUUAAUGUUCUGAAAAAAAUGAGCUAUGUUUGAACACGAUGUUCAAACAAGCCGUCAGUGAGCCACGGAUGGCGAAUUGACGGCGGUGGCGUAUAAAACAAAUAUGUAAAACAGAACAUUUAGAACUUCUUAGCUUCA